UACAGAGACUGCAAGCGUUAUUCGGAUUCACUGGGCGUAAAGGGCGCGCAGGCGGCUACGCACGUCCGUUGUGAAAUCGCCCGGCUCAACUGGGCGGGGUCAGCGGAUACGGCGUAGCUGGAGCAAGCUAGGGGGCAAUGGAAUUCCCGGUGUAGUGGUGAAAUGGCGUAGAUAUCGGGAGGAACACCAGUGGCGAAGGCGACUACCUGGCCUGUUCUUGACGCGUGAGGCG
rnacentral:rRNA from 1 species